rnacentral:rRNA from 1 species
GAUGAGCGCUGGUGGCGUGCUUAACACAUGCAAGUCGAACGAAGCACCUUGGACAGAUUCUUCGGAUGAAGUCUUUGGCGACUGAGUGGCGGACGGGUGAGUAACGCGUGGGUAACCUGCCUCAUACAGGGGGAUAACAGUUAGAAAUGGCUGCUAAUACCGCAUAAGCGCACGGUACUGCAUGGUAACAGUGUGAAAAACUCCGGUGGUAUGAGAUGGACCCCGCGUUGGAUUAGCUAGUUGCAGGGUACGCCUACCAAGCGACGAUCCAUAGCCGGCCUGAGAGGGUGGACAGCCACAUUGGGACUGAGAC